AUGAGGAUCAAGAAUGGGGAGAAUGAAGAGGAUGAUUUACAGCUGAUUGAUGGAAUCUCAGAAUUUGACGGUUUACUCAUGUCGUGGAGACCGCACGAGGUUCGCAUUGGUGGAAAUUGUGGUGCAGUUGAUACGUCUUUUGCACUUGUUCAUAAUUCAGUCGAGGCCACAGUACAAGUUAUCAUAUCAAAAGUGCAGACUGCAUUUGAUUUAUCCCUCAGUUCUACGAUUGCUCUUCUGGAGAUGAAUAAAGAAUUCCAGCUCUUCAGUGGAAAUAUUAGUGAGUCUUGUGGCUUAGGAAGCUUUGUGAUUGCUGUCACAUGGGAUACACUGAUGAAUUUGAAGUUCAAGGUUGAUCACGAAGGCUGUAACAAUAAUAUGGAACGCAAUUGUUCCUUCAAAGCUAAGUUAAAUGGACACGCCAGCCAUCAGCUAAAUCUCGAGACUGCCUCAAUUUUAGUUAAGUUGUGCCGAAAGCUGGGUCAUUUCGUCCUCCAAGCUGAUUGCUGA
rnacentral:rRNA from 1 species